rnacentral:rRNA from 1 species
AGAUGGCGACCGGCGCACGGGUGAGUAACACGUAUCCAACCUGCCGAUAACUCGGGGAUAGCCUUUCGAAAGAAAGAUUAAUACCCGAUGGUAUAAUCAGACCGCAUGGUUCGAUUAUUAAAGAAUUUCGGUUAUCGAUGGGGAUGCGUUCCAUUAGGCAGUUGGUGAGGUAACGGCUCACCAAACCUUCGAUGGAUAGGGGUUCUGAGAGGAAGGUCCCCCACAUUGGAACUGAGACACGGUCCAA